CUACGUAGGGGGCGAGCGUUGUCCGGAAUUACUGGGCGUAAAGAGCUCGUAGGUGGUUUGUCGCGUCGUCUGUGAAAUUCCGGGGCUUAACUCCGGGCGUGCAGGCGAUACGGGCAUAACUUGAGUACUGUAGGGGAGACUGGAAUUCCUGGUGUAGCGGUGAAAUGCGCAGAUAUCAGGAGGAACACCGGUGGCGAAGGCGGGUCUCUGGACAGUAACGGACGCUGAGGAGCGAAAGCAUGGGUGGCGAACAGGAUUAGAUACCCUGGUAGUCCAGGCCGUAAACGGGGGGCGCUAGGUGUAGGGGUCUUCCACGACUUCUGUGCCGUAGCUAACGCAUUAAGCGCCCCGCCUGGGGAGUACGGCCGCAAGGCGAAAACUCAAAUGAAUUGACGGGG
rnacentral:rRNA from 1 species